rnacentral:sRNA from 1 species
UUGACAGUUUUGGAGUAUAAAAUCCUUUAUUCAUCAGCAGAGCAGGUAGAGGAAGUCGCUGUUUCUCUUGCCUUGCCAAUUUUUGUUCAUCUCUGACCUAGAGGUAACACCUCAAGCUUGGAGUUCAUUCUCCAUGUCUUUCUAAUCAUUGAGCUCUC